rnacentral:rRNA from 1 species
GAUGAACGCUGGCGGCGUGCCUAAUACAUGCAAGUCGAGCGAACAGACGAGGAGCUUGCUCCUUUGACGUUAGCGGCGGACGGGUGAGUAACACGUAGGUAACCUACCUAUAAGACUGGGAUAACUUCGGGAAACCGGAGCUAAUACCGGAUAAUAUUUCGAACCGCAUGGUUCGAUAGCGAAAGAUGGCUUUGCUAUCACUUAUAGAUGGACCUGCGCCGUAUUAGCUAGUUGGUAAGGUAACGGCUUACCAAGGCAACGAUACGUAGCCGACCUGAGAGGGUGAUCGGCCACACUGGAACUGAGACACGGUCCAGACUCCUACGGGAGGCAGCAGUAGGGAAUCUUCCGCAAUGGGCGAAAGCCUGACGGAGCAACGCCGCGUGAGUGAUGAAGGUCUUCGGAUCGUAAAACUCUGUUAUUAGGGAAGAACAAACGUGUAAGUAACUGUGCACGUCUUGACGGUACCUAAUCAGAAAGCCACGGCUAACUACGUG